ACUGGUGUAUAAGAUGGCUGGGCAUAUAUCUAGUUUUUAAGACAAGUGUUAGUCAUGUCAGCCAAUAGCCAAGCUAACAAUUUCAUGUAGUACAUUACAGGUCAUAAAAGUCCACCUUUUAUACCUGGUGUAUUAGACAGCACCAUAAUUUAAGGAGAUUUUUUAAGACUAAAAGAAUGUAUUAUACACUGAUGUAUAUGUGUAUGUGUGUAUGUAUUAUUCAUCCUUUGUAUUUGCUUCUGAUAAUAAAU
rnacentral:lncRNA from 1 species